rnacentral:rRNA from 1 species
UACGUAGGUGGCAAGCGUUUGUCCGGAAUUAUUGGGCGUAAAGCGCGCGCAGGCGGUCCUUUAAGUCUGAUGUGAAAGCCCACGGCUCAACCGUGGAGGGUCAUUGGAAACUGGGGGGACUUGAGUGCAGAAGAGGAAAGUGGAAUUCCAAGUGUAGCGGUGAAAUGCGUAGAGAUUUGGAGGAACACCAGUGGCGAAGGCGACUUUCUGGUCUGUAACUGACGCUGAGGCGCGAAAGCGUGGGGAGCAAACAGG